GAUGAACGCUGGCGGCGUGCUUAACACAUGCAAGUCGAACGAACCUUCGGGUUAGUGGCGGACGGGUGAGUAACGCGUGAGAAUCUGCCCUCAGGAGGGGGAUAACGGUUGGAAACGACCGCUAAUACCCCAUAUGCCUACUGGUGAAAUGAAUUUCGCCUGAGGAUGAGCUCGCGUCUGAUUAGCUAGUUGGUGAGGUAAUGGCUCACCAAGGCUUCGAUCAGUAGCUGGUCUGAGAGGAUGAUCAGCCACACUGGGACUGAGACACGGCCCAGACUCCUACAGGAGGCAGCAGUGGGGAAUUUUCCGCAAUGGGCGAAAGCCUGACGGAGCAACGCCGCGUGAGGGACGAAGGCCUCUGGGCUGUAACCUCUUUUCUCAAGGAAGAAGAUAUGACGGUACUUGAGGAAUAAGCCACGGCUAAUUCCGUGCCAGCAGCCGCCGCAGU
rnacentral:rRNA from 1 species